rnacentral:rRNA from 1 species
UACAGAGGGUGCAAGCGUUGCUCGGAUUUACUGGGCGUAAAGCGUACGCAGACGGCUUGGUAGGUCGGAUGUGAAAGCCCCGGGCUCAACCCGGGAAUUGCAUCCGAAACCACCUCGCUCGAGUGUGGGAGAGGGAAGCGGAAUUCCUGGUGUAGAGGUGAAAUUCGCAGAUAUCAGGAGGAACACCGGCGGCGAAGGCGGCUUCCUGGCCCAUUACUGACGUUCAGGUACGAAAGCGUGGGUAGCAAACAGG